AUUAUUAUUAACCUGCAUCUCAUGCGGCCCUCAAUUGCUAACCAAAACUCGGUAAGAGGCCGUCCGCCCAAAAUAAUUGCCUGCCCCUGAACUACA